UACAGAGGUCCCAAGCGUUGUUCGGAUUCAUUGGGCGUAAAGGGUGCGUAGGUGGCGUCGUAAGUCGGGUGUGAAAUCUCGGGGCUUAACUCCGAAACUGCAUUCGAUACUGCGGUGCUUGAGGACUGGAGAGGAGACUUGAAUUUACGGUGUAGCAGUGAAAUGCGUAGAGAUCGUAAGGAAGACCAGUGGCGAAGGCGGGUCUCUGGACAGUUCCUGACACUGAGGCACGAAGGCCAGGGGAGCAAACGGG
rnacentral:rRNA from 1 species